CUUCCCAUUCAUUUACUGCUAUAGUCUUUUCAAUGAUAUGAGCAGUUUUAUAUGUGGAUAAAAUAACAUUGGGCCAUUGUAAAUUGAAAUGGAAUAAUCAUUCCAUCUCUUCUGCGUUCAUGGUCUAGGCAUUG